GUCAGUUACGAUAUGGCUGAUAAGUCAGUAGAUAUAGUGACAUAUAAUAUUAUAUAACAUUAAGAUAUCCACAAAACAAAAAAUAAACAUGACAUGGGGCAAAGUUACUAGGAUUCUGUUCAGCCUUCCAACAAAUUAAUAAAUGUUAAACGAUGCACCCAAAAUAGACAACAAGUAGUCAAUCUAACCUGAGCGAAAAUAGUACAGUCUUUUUUUAUCUAUGCAUUCUUAAUCAGCAUAGAUCCACUUUCCAGAUGCAAUAAAUGUCAAGAAAACAUUAAC